rnacentral:lncRNA from 1 species
GGAGCACUCUUCUGGACUGGGUAAGGGGACACCAUGCCCCUGCCUUCCAGAAUUUAGCUUCCAGGAGAACCCACAGGCCAGAUGACCCCCAGAGACCUGCAGGUCUGAGAUUCCUCCUACCCUGAGCAAAGCCCUGUGAUUUGGCCUGGAGUCGCAGUUCUGUCAGUUUCCGUGUGACUUUAAGCAAGUCACGUGACCUAGCUCCCCAGGUGAUUCUAGGUACAGUCCAAUGGUGAUCCAGCAAGCGGCAGAGAUUGAACUUUCGAAGACUCAUCGAACCCCACCUUCUCCCCACGUCCUUGCGCCCGUCUGACCUGGUCCCACGAGGCUCGCCUGGAGAGAAUGGGUAUGAUGCAACCCUGGUGUCGUGAAAUAGCCGGGUAAGAGGAUGCGCUGCUCGUCGGCCUGAUUCACAACACCAGCUGCAGCAAGAUACCAGAACUCCGCUGGCUUCUCCUCUGGGUCGUGGCUCCUCUGGUUUUCAGACAGUGACAAACCCACACAAACAUCUUCCCCAGGGCCAGAGAGGCACCAGGGCCUGGGUCUGCAAACGUGAAAGCUGAGCCUCUGCCCACAUGGGGCUCACAGACUUGAUCACAGGGAAGAGGGAAAGAGAAAGAUGCAAAACCCUGUACAGUGCAAGAGGAUCAGAGCUGCAAUGGAGGACCAGGCCUGGGAAGAGCUGGGAAGCCAGAGGCUGGGCUGCAGCCUUUCUGGCAACCAGGACCAAGAAACUGGGAUUUCUCUUAAGCCUGCAGAGCUUGUGGUGUGUCUAUUGCAGUCCUGCUCCUUCUACCUGGACAUUGUUAAAGCAGUCCGACACUAAAGUAUUUUGAAGCUACUGGCAGCUAAAGCAAGAAGG